rnacentral:misc_RNA from 1 species
AUGCAAAUGGGUCGGAGGCA